CCUACGGGUGGCAGCAGUGAGGAAUAUUGGUCAAUGGACGAGAGUCUGAACCAGCCAAGUAGCGUGAAGGAUGACUGCCCUAUGGGUUGUAAACUUCUUUUAUAUGGGAAUAAAACGUUCCACGUGUGGGAUUUUGUAUGUACCAUAUGAAUAAGGAUCGGCUAACUCCGUGCCAGCAGCCGCGGUAAUACGGAGGAUCCGAGCGUUAUCCGGAUUUAUUGGGUUUAAAGGGAGCGUAGGUGGAUUGUUAAGUCAGUUGUGAAAGUUUGCGGCUCAACCGUAAAAUUGCAGUUGAAACUGGCAGUCUUGAGUACAGUAGAGGUGGGCGGAAUGCGUGGUGUAGCGGUGAAAUGCUUAGAGAUCACGAAGAACUCCGAUUGCGAAGGCAGUUCACUGGACUGCAACUGACACUGAGGCUCGAAAGUGUGGGUAUCAAACAGGAUUAGAUACCCUUGUAGUC
rnacentral:rRNA from 1 species